AUUGAACGCUGGCGGAAUGCUUUACACAUGCAAGUCGAACGGCAGCACGGACUUCGGUCUGGUGGCGAGUGGCGAACGGGUGAGUAAUAUAUCGGAACGUGCCCAGUCGUGGGGGAUAACGUAGCGAAAGUUACGCUAAUACCGCAUACGAUCUACGGAUGAAAGCGGGGGAUCGCAAGACCUCGCGCGAUUGGAGCGGCCGAUAUCAGAUUAGGUAGUUGGUGGGGUGAAGGCUCACCAAGCCAACGAUCUGCAGCUGGUCUGAGAGGACGACCAGACACACUGGAACUGAGGCACGGUCCAGACUCCUACGGGAUGCAGCAGUGGGGAAUGUUGGACAAUGGACGCAAGUCUGAUCCAGCCAUUCCGCGUGCAGGAUGAAGGCCCUCGGGUUGUAAACUGCUUUUGUACAGAACGAAAAGGCUCUUCCUAAUACGGAGGGCUCAUGACGGUACUGUAAGAAUAAGCACCGGCUAACUACGUGCCAGCAGCCGCCGCCG
rnacentral:rRNA from 1 species